AAUUAAGUGAACGACAAAAGGCAGCGCAGGCAGAUCAAAAUAUCUGGAGCUGGAAUGAAGAUCAUCUUUUUCACCAUCGGCCGUAUUUAUUGAAUGGCGAUAUAGAUUGGAGUAGUUGAUAUCUGACGUAGAUUUGUUGUGACAGUGAAUUGCUUAGUUACAGUGUAUGCUGAUUAAUACAGGUAUUGAAUUCUUAAUGGUUCAUAUCUGCAGUACUAAAUAUCAUGCAAACAGCAGAGAUGUUAAGCUGAUGUUUACCAGACUUCGAAAUUGAAAUAUUUGAAAUACAGUACUUAGAUUAUUCAAUUUCUCACAUAACUGUGGUGAAAACAGAAUUAUGAGUCUUGCAGCUACCUAUGCGAAGAAUGUUGCAGGAGCUAAUUUGGACAGAAAUACCUCCAGUCUGUUUGAUUUAAGUCGUAAACCACAGGCGACAGGCUCCAGCUAUGUGACGUUAAGUUGUGAACCAAGUCACUAUGGAAGUUUACACACUACAAGAAAAUCCCGGACUAAUUUAGAAAAUUCAUAUCGUAUGGAACCCACUAAGAA